UUACAUGAUGAUUUACUCUAUUUUAUCACGACGGUCAACGUAGCCAAUGCAUUGACGACCACAGCCUGUGACAGGGCUUAGAUCUGAAA
rnacentral:snoRNA from 1 species